AUUGAACGCUGGCGGCAUGCUUUACACAUGCAAGUCGAGCGGCAGCGCGGGGGGCAACCCUGGCGGCGAGCGGCGAACGGGUGAGUAAUGCAUCGGAACGUACCCCGUAGUGGGGGAUAACCCAGCGAAAGCUGGGCUAAUACCGCAUAUGCUCUACGGAGGAAAGUGGGGGACUCGCAAGGGCCUCACGCUAUGGGAGCGGCCGAUGUCCGAUUAGCUAGUUGGUGGGGUAAUGGCCCCACCAAGGCGACGAUCGGUAGCUGGUCUGAGAGGAUGAUCAGCCACACUGGGACUGAGACACGGCCCAGACUCCUACGGGAGGCAGCAGUGGGGAAUUUUGGACAAUGGGGGCAACCCUGAUCCAGCCAUGCCGCGUGCGGGAA
rnacentral:rRNA from 1 species